rnacentral:rRNA from 1 species
AAUGAACGCUAGCGGCGUGCUUAACACAUGCAAGUCGUACGAGAACUCUUUAGCUUGCUAAAGAUAGUAAAGUGGCGCACGGGUGAGUAACGCGUGGGUAAUCUACCUCUGAAUUUGGGAUAACUCCGCGAAAGCGGGGCUAAUACCGGAUAAUAUUUCAGAAUCUUCGGGUUUUGAAAUCAAAAGUGGUCUCUACAUGUAAGCUACUGUUUGGAGAUGAGCCCGCGUACCAUUAGCUUGUUGGUAGGGUAAUGGCCUACCAAGGCUACGAUGGUUAGCUGGUCUUAGAGGAUGAUCAGCCACACUGGAACUGACACACGGUCCAGACUCCUACGGGAGGCAGCAGUGGGGAAUUUUGCGCAAUGGGGGAAACCCUGACGCAGCAACGCCGCGUGAGUGAUGAAGGCCUUCGGGUCGUAAAGCUCUGUCAAGUGGGAAGAAUCUGGGAAAUGCUAAUACCAUUUUUCACUGACGGUACCACUGAAGGAAGCACCGGCUAACUCCGUGCCAGCAGCCGCGGUAAUACGGGGGGUGCAAGCGUUACCCGGAUUUAUUGGGCGUAAAGCGUGCGCAGGUUUUUUGGUAAGUUAUGCUUCAAAGCCCAGGGCUCAACCUUGGAAAGGGGCAUAAUACUGCCAGAAUUGGAGAAUUUAGGGGCUACUGGAACUUAUCAUGUAGGGUGAAAUCCGUUGAUAUGAUAAGGAACACCGAGGGCGAAGGCAAGUAGCUGGGAAUUUCUCGACACUGAGGUACGAAAGCUAGGGUAGCAAAAGGGAUUAGAGACCCCUGUAGUCCUAGCCGUAACCGAUGCUCGCUAGCUGUAUGAAUUUAUUUAUGUGGCGCAAGCUAACGCGUUAAGCGAGCCGCCUGGGGAGUACGAACGCAAGUUUAAAACUCAAAGGAAUUGACGGGGACCCGCACAACCAGUGGAGCAUGUGGUUUAAUUCGAGACGAACCGAAGAACCUUACCUGGACUUGACAUGCUACUUAUUAGUUUUACAGAGAUGUAGAAUGAUCCUGCAUUUGUAGGAAGGUAGCACAGGUGUUGCAUGGCUGUCGUCAGCUCGUGCCGUGGGGUGUUCCCUUCAGUGGGGUAACGAGCGCAACCCUUGCCGUAUGUUGAAUAUUCAUACGGGACUAUCGAGUAUUUCUCGGAGGAAGUGGGGACGACGUCAAGUCAGCAUGGCCCUUAUGUCCAGGGCAACACACAUGCUACAAUGGAGCCGACAAUGGGUUGCCAAGCAGUAAUGCGGAGCUAAUCCCAUCAAACGGCUUCUCAGUGGGGAUUGAGGGCUGCAACUCGCCCUCAUGAACGUGGAAUUGGUAGUAAUCGCGAAUCAGCUAUGUCGCGGUGAAUACGUUCUCGGGUCUUGUACACACCGCCCGUCAAGUCAGCAAAGUUGGAGGCACCCGAACCUCGUAUAUUACGAGGGAAGGUGAAAUCAGCGAUGAGGAUU